rnacentral:rRNA from 1 species
UACGGAGGAUCCAAGCGUUAUCCGGAUUUAUUGGGUUUAAAGGGUGCGUAGGCGGCCUAUUAAGUCAGGGGUGAAAGACGGUAGCUUAACUAUCGCAGUGCCUUUGAUACUGAUGGGCUUGAAUGGACUAGAGGUAGGCGGAAUGUGACAAGUAGCGGUGAAAUGCAUAGAUAUGUCACAGAACACCAAUUGCGAAGGCAGCUUACUAAGCUAUGAUUGACGCUGAGGCACGAAAGCGUGGGGAUCAAACAGG